rnacentral:rRNA from 1 species
CAGUAGCCACGGUAAUACGGAGGGUGCAAGCGUUAUCCGGAUUUAUUGGGUUUAAAGGGUCCGUAGGCGGAUCUGUAAGUCAGUGGUGAAAUCUCACAGCUUAACUGUGAAACUGCCAUUGAUACUGCAGGUCUUGAGUAAAUUUGAAGUGGCUGGAAUAAGUAGUGUAGCGGUGAAAUGCAUAGAUAUUACUUAGAACACCAAUUGCGAAGGCAGGUCAAUAAGAUUUAACUGACGCUGAUGGACGAAAGCGUGGGGAGCGAACAGGAUUAGAUACCCGUGUAGUCCCUGUCUCUUAUAC